UACGAAGGGGGGCUAGCGUUGCUCGGAAUCACUGGGCGUAAAGCGCACGUAGGCGGAUUGCUAAGUCAGGGGUGAAAUCCUGGAGCUCAACUCCAGAACUGCCUUUGAUACUGGCAACCUUGAGUCCGGGAGAGGUGAGUGGAACUGCGAGUGUAGAGGUGAAAUUCGUAGAUAUUCGCAAGAACACCAGUGGCGAAGGCGGCUCACUGGCCCGGGUACUGACGCUGAGGUGCGAAAGCGUGGGGAGCAAACAGG
rnacentral:rRNA from 1 species